rnacentral:rRNA from 1 species
GACGAAUCAGGCGGCGUGCCUAACACAUGCAAGUCGAGCGAUGAAGCUCCUUCGGGAGUGGAUUAGCGGCGGACGGGUGAGUAACACGUGGGUAACCUGCCUCAUAGAGGGGAAUAGCCUCCCGAAAGGGAGAUUAAUACCGCAUAAUGUAUGAGAAUCGCAUGAUUUUUGUACCAAAGGAGCAAUCCGCUAUGAGAUGGACCCGCGGCGCAUUAGCUAGUUGGUGAGGUAAAGGCUCACCAAGGCGACGAUGCGUAGCCGACCUGAGAGGGUGAUCGGCCACAUUGGAACUGAGACACGGUCCAGACUCCUACGGGAGGCAGCAGUGGGGAAUAUUGCGCAAUGGGGGAAACCCUGACGCAGCAACGCCGCGUGAAUGAAGAAGGCCUUAGGGUUGUAAAGUUCUGUCAUAUGGGAAGAUAAUGACGGUACCAUAUGAGGAAGCCACGGCUAACUACGUGCCAGCAGCCGCGGUAAUACGUAGGUGGCAAGCGUUGUCCGGAUUUACUGGGCGUAAAGGGUGCGUAGGCGGAUAUUUAAGUCAGAUGUGAAAUACCCAGGCUUAACUUGGGAGUUGCAUUUGAAACUGGAUAUCUAGAGUGCAGGAGAGGAAAGCGGAAUUCCUAGUGUAGCGGUGAAAUGCGUAGAGAUUAGGAAGAACACCAGUGGCGAAGGCGGCUUUCUGGACUGUAACUGACGCUGAGGCACGAAAGCGUGGGUAGCAAACAGGAUUAGAUACCCUGGUAGUCCACGCUGUAAACGAUGAAUACUAGGUGUAGGAGGUGUCAUGCCUUCUGUGCCGCAGUUAACACAAUAAGUAUUCCGCCUGGGGAGUACGGUCGCAAGAUUAA